UUUCAUUUUUUCUGUUUUGUUUCAGAGAGGAGUAUCUCUUUGUUACAGCACAUUGAAGUGUGUGGUUGAAAACGGUGGCGUCCACAAACCAAAAAAAAAGAAAAAGAAACCAAUAAACCUCAAUGUCAAGUUAGCUUCAUGCCUGACUGACAGCAUUGAUGAGGAAUUCAAGAAGACCUUUCCGUAAGAAAUGAAUUAAUUAGGGUAUAAAAGACUAUGUAGAAUUCUGUAGAGAUUCUUCAAUAUACAGUUAAUAUAAACUAUGUGGGAAAAUACACAUGUACAAAUUUCCCUGCUGAAACCCAAACUUGUCACUGACAAUUUGUGAAAUUUGUCAACAUGUUUCAGGAAUGAGAGAAAAUGUGGAGCAUUCAAUGGGGUCAUCAAUACAUUUUCCCUUGACACUGAGGGGCUGAUUCAGAAAUACAAAGAUGUUGAACUGCAACUGACAUUUCUCAAGACAGAGGAAGAAAAAGUAAAGAUGAGACUCAACGAAAGCAUCCGGGAGUGCAAGAAACUAGUCUACAAUAGUCUGACAAAAAUAAUCGAGGAAAACAUGAAGGACUGCUAUCAAAGUAAGAUUAGAAAUCAUGACAUAUACAACCUAGUAGUAUAAAAAUACACAUAAACAUCAUCAUAAUAGUGCAGAAAAUGUAGUUGAGAACAUAUUUCUGUUUUAUUGCAGAAGCAGCAGGAUUUAGAGGAAAGGACUCACUGAAAAAUAUGAGGGACACUAUCAAGCAGCAUGUACAUUCUUCAAAGAACACCAUGUUCAAGCAGGCUAAAGAUGUCAUGUUGGGCCGGCUGAGAAAGUUGAAGGGUUACAUCUUGAAAGAACUGAAGGAAACGAUGCGGAAAUCAAUCAUGAUGUCACUCAAGACAGAUGAUUACUCACUCCCAGAUUUCACAGUGGAACUUGCAGAAGUGAAAAAACAUUACAAUGACUUGAUGAAAAAGCCAAGAAGAAGAAACACCACAGAACUUGUGUCAACAUGUUCACAUGAUGCACUGAUAAAAUUUCACAGUGGAACCUGCAAAAGUGAAAAAAAAACCACAACAAUGACUUGAAGAAAAGCCAAGAAGAGAAAACAUCACAAAUUUGGUAAAACUUUUGUUAAAAUUUUCACAUGAUGCGCUGAUUCUGACCUGUUUUAAAUAAAGCAAACAAUGUAUUUACUUACAGUAAUAGCUGAUUACUGUUCAAUGUCACAACCUUGCUUGUUUCUCUGGUUGAUGUCUCAGGUUUGGCCUGACUACUAACCAAAUGUCCCUGCAGAUCUGAUUUGAGAUGUGAGGCCUGUGAGAUUUGGUCUCAACCAUUUUUAACAAAAUGUCAUCCCUGUUCACUCUGAGAGUUGCUAUGGUAUGUUUGUGAGUUAACUUAAAUUACAGUCAGUUUUCCUGAAUAGGACGUUCUCAUUUUUUAUUAAUUAAAGAGCAGAGGCAGACAGAACAUGUGUAUGCAUCACAGCAAAGUUCCUCAGUCAGAUAUAAACCAGGCACAUUGUGGUUUCAUUGUACAGUUCUUCCAGAAUUUUUUUCUGGAAGUUUUUCUGGAGUUUUUUUGUGAUUGUUGCAGGCAAAAAUCCUUGAUUAUGCGGCAUGUUUUCUUAAAAAAUGCGAUGGAAUAUGUGGGAUAAUUAUGCAAUUUUAUGCAAUGAAAUUGUGGGAACUUGCAAAACUGCGGUUUGAUGAAAAAGAGAAAAAAAAUUGAUUCCCCCAACACCAUGUUCUCACUAGGCUACUAACAUAAUGAAAAGAGUCAUUACUUAUUACUUCCUAUGAUAAGCAAGCAUACUACAUCACAGAAAGUGCUGAGAAUAUUUAAGUUCUCAUCUUGUUUUAUUUCAGACCUUAAUAAACACGUGGCUCAAACUUACAAAACAUUGAUGAGUCAGACAAGUUCUGUAGCUUUACAAAAGGAAUAUGCUACAACGUCUGUAAAAAUGAAUAAAUAAAAUAUAAGAAAAAUAAAAUGUGUGCUUCCUGUUUUACAGAGGUAGCGAUACAAAACAGACAUCUUCUGUUAAAAUAAGUGCUUCCAAUGCACAAAGUGCAAUCUCUUACUGUAACGUAAAUUUACAUACUACUAAUAUACUUACAACUGUAAGGUUUUUGGAACUAGUAUGAUUUUUUGUUGGCAAAUGAGACUGAUUUGCGGGCUUCAUCAUGGCUUCAUCGCGGGGUUUGCAGCUUUUCGAUGAUGUUCACGUCGCGUAAUUACGUCACUUCAUAACGUUCCCAUGGCAACAGGGGAAAAUGGCUGCUCCUGUGUGAAGUAAACGCAACGUUUUUCAACUUUGUUUUCUGGAGGGACUGAUUAUACUGGUCGUAACCACCACACCAUUAUGAUGCAGAGACUAUUCGUUUUUAAUUUUGUCUCCUUGAGUAUAUUUUAUGUUAUUCAUUCAUGUUUUUAUUUUUUGAGUUUAGUAGUUAAGUUUUAGUUGAGUUUAAUGGUUGACCGGGAUCAAUGCCCUGCAAUGCGAUAUUUUAGUUAUGGGUGUUUUCAUUAAGUCUUGACCCUUGAUUACAAGCUAUAUGUCAGAAAUGAAUAGAUCUUGAAUUACCCUUUUGUCUUAAUGCUAGAUAAUUGUUUCUGUGUGUUCAUAUAUGAGAAAUAGAGAGAACUAGAUGAUAGUGAUAAACAAGUUGGUUGUUUUAUUUCGGAUUUUAAAUGCAUAAAUGUACAGACAAGUGACAAAGGGAAACCUGAAUGAAUGAGUGGAGAUACAUGACAAAUACAGAUGCUUUCAUACAGGACUCAAGGGGUCAUUUGAUGUUUUUAUGAGAAUGAAAAUGAUGUGAAUCAAUUGAACACCUGUGGGAGACGGUUUGAGACAUCCUUUAAAGUGUCACCAAUCGUUUUUUGAUUUUGUAUACUGUUCAAUAAAGUUCUUCUGAGUGAAAAUGCCACUGGUUUGGCUUCUUUGACGUCAGUGUUGUCAUUAAAGCACCCAAAAGCUGCUCAAGGUUCUCCGACAUCUCUUUUGCAAUGAUUUUCAGCUGUUUUUCUGACGAUAACUGCAGGUAUUUGUUCAGACUUGCAAUGGAACAUGCUGACACAUAGAUGCCCAUAAAUAGGGAUGGGCCUCAAUUCUGCUUGUUCAGCCUAGUACCUUUAUAAAUCAGAGAUAAAGAAAACUGUGAUUUCUAAGAGGAAGAACCAUAUAUCAGUGACAUGAUAUCAGGCAACCACUUUGACAGUAAAACACUCUGUGUUUAACAGGUGGUGGAUCUCAUAUUCUUUAAGGUUAAUUCCUCUUCAGGAUAAAUAGUUUGCGUCUUUUUGCAUGGC
rnacentral:lncRNA from 1 species